UUAAAUUGAAGAGUUUGAUCAUGGCUCAGAUUGAACGCUGGCGGCAGGCCUAACACAUGCAAGUCGAGCGGUAGCACAGAGAGCUUGCUCUCG
rnacentral:rRNA from 1 species